rnacentral:lncRNA from 1 species
GAAAACAUCAGCUCCUCCCCGAGUCCUCAACUGCAUGACCCUCAAACUACAACAUCUCCUCCUCCCCGAGUCUGCAGCUGCAAGACCCUCAAUCUAGAACCUCAGCUCCUCCCCGGGUCUUCAGCUGCAUGACCCCCAAAUUAGAACCUCAGCUCCUCCCCGAGUCUUCAGCUGCAUGACCCUCAAACUAGAACAUCAGGGCCCUCAAGGUGGAACAUCAGCUCCUCCCCAAGCUAGAACACCUCUCCCACCUGGAUCUCCAGCUCCACGACCCUCACAGAACAGCCACACUGGCUCCUUCAUUGUCUUCAGCUCCACAACCUAAGACAUCAGUGGGAGCACCGGCUCCUCCCUGGACGUCCAGCUCAACAACUCUCAUAGACUUAAAAGGCAGCACGUGCUCCUCCCCAAGACUCCAUCUCCACCACCCUCAGAUUUGAACAGCGGUAGCACCAGCUCCUCUCCAGGUCUUCAGCCCCACGACCCUCCCUAAACAAUCCCUUCUCAUGAAAUUCAGCAGUCAAGAAAUCUGCAGCGGAAG